rnacentral:rRNA from 1 species
UACGUAGGGACCAAGCGUUGUUCGGAUUUACUGGGCGUAAAGGGCGCGUAGGCGGCAAUUCAAGUCAUCUGUGAAAUCUCCGGGCUUAACCCGGAACGGUCAGGUGAUACUGUUUUGCUAGAGUGCGGUAGGGGAGAUUGGAAUUCCUGGUGUAGCGGUGGAAUGCGCAGAUAUCAGGAGGAACACCAAUGGCGAAGGCAGCUCGCUGGGACGGUACUGACGCUGAGACGCGAAAGCGUGGGGAGCAAACAGG